rnacentral:lncRNA from 1 species
UUCUCUUGGCAGAGCUCGAACCCCUUGAUGAACGCCUCCUGGCCGAAUUGGACAUUCAGGUCCCUCAUCUCCGUGGAGGUCUUGAAUUCCUCUACCAUAAGGACCCUGGCCUCUGAGACCAGGACUGGAAUCUGCUCAGCCAAGUUGGCGACCUCGGCCUCCGCCUUUCUCGCUGUCUCCUCCAAGGUCUGCUUCUCCUCCUCCCGGGC